AGUGAACGCUGGCGGCGUGCUUAACACAUGCAAGUCGAACGAGAACGGGUUAUAGCUUGCUAUAAUUGUCAGCUAAGUGGCGCACGGGUGAGUAAUGUAUAGGUAAUAUGCCUCUUACUAAGGGAUAACAAAUGGAAACGUUUGCUAAUACCUUAUACUCCUUAUUAACAGAAGUUAAUAAGGUAAAGAUUUAUUGGUAAGAGAUUAGCCUGUAUUGUAUCAGUUAGUUGGUGGGGUAAUGGCUUACCAAGACUAUGACACAUAACUGGUUUGAGAGGCUGAACAGUCACACUGGAACGCAGACACGGUCCGGACGCCUACGGGAUGCAGCAGUGGGGAAUAUUGCAAAAUGUACGAAAGUCGGAUGCAGCAACGUCGCGUGGAGGAUGACACAUUUAGGUGCGUAAACUCCUUUUACAUGAGAAGUUAAUGACGGUAUUAUAUGAAUAAGCACCGGCUAACUCCGUGCCAUCCACCGCCGUAA
rnacentral:rRNA from 1 species